rnacentral:rRNA from 1 species
GUGAGGAAUAUUGGACAAUGGGCGCAAGCCUGAUCCAGCCAUGCCGCGUGCAGGAAGACGCAUCUAUGGUGGGUAAACUGCUUUUGUACGGGAAGAAACACUGCCUCGUGAGGGAGCUUGACGGUACCGUAAGAAUAAGGAUCGGCUAACUCCGUGCCAGCAGCCGCGGUAAUACGGAGGAUCCAAGCGUUAUCCGGAAUCAUUGGGUUUAAAGGGUCCGUAGGCGGUUUAAUAAGUCAGUGGUGAAAGCCCAUCGCUCAACGAUGGAACGGCCAUUGAUACUGUUAGACUUGAAUUACAAGGAAGUAACUAGAAUAUGUAGUGUAGCGGUGAAAUGCUUAGAUAUUACAUGGAAUACCAAUUGCGAAGGCAGGUUACUACUUGUGGAUUGACGCUGAUGGACGAAAGCGUGGGGAGCGAACAGGAUUAGAAACCCUUGUAGUCC